rnacentral:rRNA from 1 species
CUGCAACUGACGCUGAGACUUCGAAAGCAUGGGUAGCGAACAGGAUUUAGAUACCCUGGUAGUCCAUGCCGUAAACGAUGAGUGCUAGGUGUUGGAGGGUUUCCGCCCUUCAGUGCCGGAGCUAACGCAUUAAGCACUCCGCCUGGGGAGUACGACCGCAAGGUUGAAACUCAAAGGAAUUGACGGGGGCCCGCACAAGCGGUGGAGCAUGUGGUUUAAUUCGAAGCUACGCGAAGAACCUUACCAGGUCUUGACAUCUUGCGCCAACCCUAGAGAUAGGGCGUUUCCUUCGGGAACGCAAUGACAGGUGGUGCAUGGUCGUCGUCAGCUCGUGUCGUGAGAUGUUGGGUUAAGUCCCGCAACGAGCGCAACCCUUGUUACUAGUUGCCAGCAUUAAGUUGGGCACUCUAGUGAGACUGCCGGUGACAAACCGGAGGAAGGUGGGGACGACGUCAGAUCAUCAUGCCCCUUAUGACCUGGGCUACACACGUGCUACAAUGGACGGUACAACGAGUCGCGAACUCGCGAGGGCAAGCAAAUCUCUUAAAACCGUUCUCAGUUCGGACUGCAGGCUGCAACUCGCCUGCACGAAGUCGGAAUCGCUAGUAAUCGCGGAUCAGCAUGCCGCGGUGAAUACGUUCCCGGGCCUUGUACACACCGCCCGUCACACCAUGAGAGUUUGUAACACCCAAAGUCGGUGGGGUAACCUUUUAGGAGCCAGCCGCCUAA